AACGAACGCUGGCGGCAUGCCUAACACAUGCAAGUCGAACGAGACCUUCGGGUCUAGUGGCGCACGGGUGCGUAACGCGUGGGAAUCUGCCCUUGGGUUCGGAAUAACAGUUGGAGACGACUGCUAAUACCGGAUGAUGACGUAAGUCCAAAGAUUUAUCGCCCAAGGAUGAGCCCGCGUAGGAUUAGCUAGUUGGUGAGGUAAAGGCUCACCAAGGCGACGAUCCUUAGCUGGUCUGAGAGGAUGAUCAGCCACACUGGGACUGAGACACGGCCCAGACUCCUACGGGAGGCAGCAGUGGGGAAUAUUGGACAAUGGGCGAAAGCCUGAUCCAGCAAUGCCGCGUGAGUGAUGAAGGCCUUAGGGUUGUAAAGCUCUUUUACCCGGGAUGAUAAUGACAGUACCGGGAGAAUAAGCUCCGGCUAACUCCGUG
rnacentral:rRNA from 1 species